rnacentral:rRNA from 1 species
UACGUAUGGGGCGAGCGUUGUCCGGAUUUAUUGGGCGUAAAGAGCUCGUAGGCGGCUCAGUAAGUCGGAUGUGAAAACUCGGGGCUCAACCCCGAGACGCCAUCCGAUACUGCUGUGGCUUGAGUCUGGUAGGGGAACACGGAAUUCCUGGUGUAGCGGUGAAAUGCGCAGAUAUCAGGAGGAACACCGAUGGCGAAGGCAGUGUUCUGGGCCAGUACUGACGCUGAGGAGCGAAAGCGUGGGUAGCAAACAGG